ACAUAUAAUACAGAACGGAAAAGUAGCUGAAAUUUGAGAAAGUUUUCCAAUUUAAAAGUGAAAAUGUUGUGAAUGAUUCAAAAACUAUCGGAGGAUGCACCGAAGAACAGACCGGAAUGGGUUAUGAAAUCUUAGAGCUAUGUUGAACUGUUUUUAGGUAGAAGUCGGCGUCACUUUUAUGUAUGUCUUUUAUUUAUUUUCAGUGAUCGGAUGGCAGUGCAGUUUUUUCAAAUUUUUUUGUGACCGUUUGCAUAUUUUCUUCGAUAUUAGGAUUAGAAUGGUAUAACGGAAUACAAAUUUCAUGCUGCGCUGAGCUUAAGCUUAUCUUUUUGGAAAGACUAGGCAACAUGCUGACUGGCCAAUGUGAUGACCAUCAGCUACCUUCCGUAUUGCAGCCUUCACAUGUGAACUGAUAAUUACACCGACUCCAAAAUAAAUCCGAACUAAUCUGGAAAAGGUGUCGAAACUGUUCUGAAGAAGUUACCGUAUUACUCCAAAAACUCAUGAAAUUGUUUCGCGCUGUUGCUAAAAUGAAUCAGAUAUAAUUCUGACAAAGUCUAGACACUGCAAUAUUCCAUUCCCGAAAUAAAUAUAUGUACAAUAUGUAUAAACGUUCGAGCAUGGAUCUUGCAUUAAAAUUAGUAAACAUCAAAGAAGUGCCAGGAUUUACUUAAACGAGUAGUGUAUCAAGGCUUGUGCGUAUGGUAGGAUAUCUAGAAACUCCAUAAGAUUUCUUUUCUCUUUUGACGUGAGCGUACAAAUUUUGAAGCUUGAAUGGGAAACUCCUAACAACUCAAAUGGUCACCGCAAUAUUGAUCAAUUCAAUGCUUUAUUCAUAGUAAGAAAACCGUACCUCCUGUUAUUAGCGCUCCCUUCUGGCGAUCAUAAGCUGUUAAUGCUGUUUACAGUUAGGAGCAGAUUUUUCAUUUCUCUCUUCGAUGCAG